rnacentral:rRNA from 1 species
GAUGAACGCUGGCGGCGUGCCUAAUACAUGCAAGUCGAGCGAACAGACGAGGAGCUUGCUCCUCUGACGUUAGCGGCGGACGGGUGAGUAACACGUGGAUAACCUACCUAUAAGACUGGGAUAACUUCGGGAAACCGGAGCUAAUACCGGAUAACAUGUUGAACCGCAUGGUUCAACAGUGAAAGACGGUCUUGAUGUCACUUAUAGAUGGUUCCGCGCCGCAUUAGCUAGUUGGUAAGGUAACGGCUUACCAAGGCAACGAUGCGUAGCCGACCUGAGAGGGUGAUCGGCCACACUGGAAUUGAGACACGGUCCAGACUCCUACGGGAGGCAGCAGUAGGGAAUCUUCCGCAAUGGGCGAAAGCCUGACGGAGCAACGCCGCGUGAGUGAAGAAGGUCUUCGGAUCGUAAAACUCUGUUAUUAGGGAAGAACAAAUGUGUAAGUAACUAUGCACGUCUUGACGGUACCUAAUCAGAAAGCCACGGCUAACUACGUG